rfam:Pantoea wallisii strain LMG 26277 Contig0008_, whole genome shotgun sequence.
CGCCGUAGCGUAACGUGCAGGAUGAGAACCUGCAGCAGGUUCGACUGAAUCGCCGGGAGCGAUUCAGGCUGAUGCGUCAGCAUCACCCGCAGGGCGAGGCCCCGGAUGGGCCGAGGCAUAUCCUGCACGACCCACCA